AGUGAACGCUGGCGGUAGGCCUAACACAUGCAAGUCGAACGGCAGCACAGUAAGAGCUUGCUCUUACGGGUGGCGAGUGGCGGACGGGUGAGGAAUACAUCGGAAUCUACUUUUUCGUGGGGGAUAACGUAGGGAAACUUACGCUAAUACCGCAUACGACCUACGGGUGAAAGCAGGGGAUCUUCGGACCUUGCGCGAUUGAAUGAGCCGAUGUCGGAUUAGCUAGUUGGCGGGGUAAAGGCCCACCAAGGCGACGAUCCGUAGCUGGUCUGAGAGGAUGAUCAGCCACGCUGGAACUGAGACACGGUCCAGACUCCUACGGGAGGCAGCAGAGGGGAAUAUUGGACAAUGGGCGCGAGCCUGAUCCAGCCAUACCGCGUGGGUGAAAGAGGCCUUCGGGUUGUAGAGCCCUUUUGUUGGGAAAGAAAAGCAGCAGGUUAAUACCCCGCUGUUCUGACGGUACCCAAAGAAUAAGCACCGGCUAACUUCGUG
rnacentral:rRNA from 1 species